rnacentral:rRNA from 1 species
AACGAUAGCUAAUACCGCAUAACAAUGAAUGACACAUGUCAUUUAUUUGAAAGGGGCAAUUGCUCCACUACAAGAUGGACUGCGUUGUAUUAGCUAGUAGGUGAGGUAACGGCUCACCUAGGCGACGAUACAUAGCCGACCUGAGAGGGUGAUCGGCCACACUGGGACUGAGACACGGCCCAGACUCUACGGGAGGCAGCAGUAGGGAAUCUUCGGCAAUGGGGGCAACCCUGACCGAGCAACGUCGCGUGAGUGAAGAAGGUUUUCGGAUCGUAAAGCUCUGUUGUAAGUCAAGAACGAGUGUGAGAGUGGAAAGUUCACACUGUGACGGUAGCUACCAGAAAGGGACGGCUAACUACGUGCCAGCAGCCGCGGUAAUACGUAGGUCCCGCCCCCCUGUCCGGAUUUAUUGGGCGUAAAGCGAGCGCAGGCGGUUUGAUAAGUCUGAGGUUAAAGGCUGUGGCUCAACCAUAGUUCGCUUUGGAAACUGUCAAACUUGAGUGCAGAAGGGGAGAGUGGAAUUCCAUGUGUAGCGGUGAAAUGCGUAGAUAUAUGGAGGAACACCGGUGGCGAAAGCGGCUCUCUGGUCUGUAACUGACGCUGAGGCUCGAAAGCGUGGGUAGCAAACAGGAUUAGAUACCCUGGUAGUCCACGCUGU